rnacentral:rRNA from 2 species
GGGCAUGCAAGUCGAGCGAACUGAUUAGAAGCUUGCUUCUAUGACGUUAGCGGCGGACGGGUGAGUAACACGUGGGCAACCUGCCUGUAAGACUGGGAUAACUUCGGGAAACCGAAGCUAAUACCGGAUAGGAUCUUCUCCUUCAUGGGAGAUGAUUGAAAGAUGGUUUCGGCUAUCACUUACAGAUGGGCCCGCGGUGCAUUAGCUAGUUGGUGAGGUAACGGCUCACCAAGGCAACGAUGCAUAGCCGACCUGAGAGGGUGAUCGGCCACACUGGGACUGAGACACGGCCCAGACUCCUACGGGAGGCAGCAGUAGGGAAUCUUCCGCAAUGGACGAAAGUCUGACGGAGCAACGCCGCGUGAGUGAUGAAGGCUUUCGGGUCGUAAAACUCUGUUGUUAGGGAAGAACAAGUACGAGAGUAACUGCUCGUACCUUGACGGUACCUAACCAGAAAGCCACGGCUAACUACGUGCCAGCAGCCGCGGUAAUACGUAGGUGGCAAGCGUUAUCCGGAAUUAUUGGGCGUAAAGCGCGCGCAGGCGGUUUCUU